rnacentral:rRNA from 1 species
UACGUAGGUGGCAAGCGUUGUCCGGAAUUAUUGGGCGUAAAGCGCGCGCAGGUGGUUUCUUAAGUCUGAUGUGAAAGCCCACGGCUCAACCGUGGAGGGUCAUUGGAAACUGGGGAACUUGAGUGCAGAAGAGGAAAGUGGAAUUCCAAGUGUAGCGGUGAAAUGCGUAGAGAUUUGGAGGAACACCAGUGGCGAAGGCGACUUUCUGGUCUGUAACUGACACUGAGGCGCGAAAGCGUGGGGAGCGAAGAGG